rnacentral:rRNA from 1 species
UGGGGAAUAUUGCACAAUGGGCGAAAGCCUGAUGCAGCGACGCCGCGUGAGGAAUGACGGCCUUCGGGUUGUAAACCUCUUUCAGCAGGGACGAAGCGCAAGUGACGGUACCUGCAGAAGAAGCACCGGCUAACUACGUGCCAGCAGCCGCGGUAAUACGUAGGGUGCAAGCGUUGUCCGGAAUUACUGGGCGUAAAGAGUUCGUAGGCGGUUUGUCGCGUCGUUUGUGAAAACCAGCAGCUCAACUGCUGGCUUGCAGGCGAUACGGGCAGACUUGAGUACUGCAGGGGAGACUGGAAUUCCUGGUGUAGCGGUGAAAUGCGCAGAUAUCAGGAGGAACACCGGUGGCGAAGGCGGGUCUCUGGGCAGUAACUGACGCUGAGGAACGAAAGCGUGGGUAGCGAACAGG